GCGGUUUUAGUUCAGUGGCAGAAUGCGGCCUUGCCAAGGCUGAUACGCCGGUUCAAUUCCGGCAAACCGCACCA
rnacentral:tRNA from 1 species